CGCCAUUGCACUCCAACGUGGGUGACAAGAGUGAAACUCCAUCUCAAAAAAAAUUGUUUUAAAGCCCUGGUUUCAGGUUCUGCUUUGGUGUGACACAAAAUCACACAAAGGCUAAGUCACCUCUGGUACUGUUAGGAGCCUCUGGUGACACUGCCCUACUACUUAUGCUGAAGUGGCGAGCAGCUAUUUGAGAGCGGGACUCCAAAAACUUGCUUCCUGAUUUGGGUAGUUCUGAAUUUCUAAAAUGUCAUAGACGAACCUUAGAGGUCACCUAGUUGGACCCCUUCGUUUAACAGAUGAGGAGACUGAGGCUGGAGAGCCUUACCAACCAGCACAUGGAGCUGAUGGCAGAGCUGGCUCAGGAGUCUGCGCCCUGGCUCCUUCCUCCCCAGGGGCCUCUGAGAGCUGCUCCUUGGAGAUUGCAGAGCCAGUUUAAAUCGAUCCCAUCUGUGGAAAUGCCUUGUAAACUGUGAAGCAUCGUAAAAAUGCUAUUUGUCAUGAUGUGUGCCAGACCUGGGACUGGAACCCAGAUCUGCCGGCUCCCUGGACAGCAGAGGACUGCAUUAGAUACAAUUGCUUAUUUUCAUAGUUUCACCCUCAGACACUUGCUAACUAAAAGCCCCCUCCCAGCUGGCCUGAUUGCCAAGCGCUCCCUGCACGGCCUUCUGCUGGGUGCCCGGGGCUUGGGGUAUGGCCAUCUGCUGUCCUUGUCCAUCUUUUAUUCAUUUAUUCAGAAAAGUAUUUACAAGUCUCUUAAGGUAUCCUGGGUAACUUGCUAGUGCUGGGGAUACAGUGGUGACCAAGACAGGCACAGUUCCUGGCCUCAGGGAGGUUAGAGUCUAGUAGGGGAGAAAAGGAGGCAAUGACCUCUCAACGAGGAAGACUGUGCUGGGCGCUAUAAGCAGAGUGGAGGAUGCAGUGAUGGCGAAUUAUCAGGGGCACCUAACCAAUUAUGGACGUCCGAGAAGCUCCCCUGAGGAGGGGCCAUUUAGCUGGGACUUGAAGAAUGAGCAGCAGAGAGGCAGUCAUCGGGGGAGGGUGUUUCCUGGCAGGAGAAGGACAUGUGUGAAGGCCUGGGCAAAGGAGCUCCUGGUGCUGGCAGGACAGAGAAGGCCCCAUGGAUGCGGUGUGUUCAAGGUCAACAGCCAGGAGAGACAGGGAGGGGGGUUGGGCAGCCCAGGCAGGACCAGUGGCUCCUUGAAAGUUUAUCUUCAAAGCUUUCUGUUAAAAGCAGCGGGAAGUUGUUGGAGGAUGUUCUGCGGAGAAAUGACAUCAUCCAAUUUUUGUGUUCAAGGGAUCAUUCUGCCCACAGGGUGGCUGGCAUUCAUGGAUCCGUAAGCAGUACCCAGCCAAGGAGUGAAGCGUGGCUAAGAGACCGGGAAGCUGAGCGGAGUUUUUGGCAGUCUCGUGGGGCUUGGAAGACAAACUUGGAAUUGAAGGCCCACCAAAGAGGAAGAGCCCUAAAGAACAAGCCAGACUUCCAGCAAGAACCUCAGAUGGGUUACACACCAGGAGGCAGGGUGAGCUGGAAAUAGAGCGGCCUUCAAAAAGCCUGACAGCUUCAAACCAGCUCAACCGCAGCCUGGAUUACGAAUGACCUUCCCUUCUCUAACUGUCUUCCGGAAAAUGAAGUAAAUCCUCCAUGAUGAAGGACAGCAUCAGCCGGAGCCAAAAAGUAUCUCCGUCAUAGAAACAGCCCCGCAGGAGAUUUUUCCAUUGCAUGGGAGACCAACAGCAACAUCUUCCACACACCAAGCAGGGCUCCUCUUUCCACUUACUUAGAGACAUAUGGUUUUCAUCAGUCACUUCUCUCUUCUUGGCAGCCACCACGGCAAGGAUUUAAAUUUUAUUUAGCAAAUGGCCCACCCCUCUCACACCAAGCCCCUGUUUGCUCUUCUCCCUCUUCCUCUGUCUCACAGGAUCCCUCUUCUAUCCCCAUUCCCAGAGAGCACCAAUCCGCCUGUCAGGCAAACCAAAUCAACUGAGUUGCCUCCGUCAGCCACCCCUGGCCAGCAGAGCCGGAAGCAGGAAAUCAGCGCAAAGGCCUCUGGGAGUUGGAGCAGACCCAGCUGAGUCUGAAGCACCUCUGGAGGAGAGGGUUCCUGAAUCUCAACUGGUUGACCCGUGGGAGCUGGUCUUCGCUGCUGCAGGGACGGGGCUGCAGGCGAGGCUGGUUUCGUUUGAUGACAUUUGGGGUGUUCUUCUCCAGUGCUGAUGCAGAGCGGUGGCCAAGCUCCAACCCCUUGCACAGGCGCCCCAACCUCGUUCCCAUCAGUUCCUACCUUUCCUGGAGUCACUGGAAGACACAAGCCUCCCACCUUAGUCACCUUCUAGGUUAGCAGUGAAGUUUGGGAACCCUAGCCCAUCUGACCACCCUUCCUCCUGAAGCCAGCUGAGUCGCAUUCCAUGUAGAUAGCCAGAGUCCUGGUGAAAACGCUGGAAACUAGGUGGUAAGAGACCCCAGUUGUUCAGCAUACUCACCCACCAUAUUGAUUACAAAAAUGAUCAUUUCUACCUCCAUCCCCACCAUUUACCCUUGUCUGGCACCCUGCUCUCCCACUCAGACCAAUGCGCCUGCCCCUGCAAGUCCCUGAUUCUCCCCUGGCCUCCCUUUAGUCCAUUCUGCAUGAAGGCAGCACAAUCUUUAAAAACAGAUCGGAUCAUGUCAGGGUCCCACAAAAACCUCCUCGAUGGCUUUCCACUGCACUUACCGCAAAAUACCGAUGCCUUGCUAUGGCCUAGGUGCCCCUGCCUGUCUCUCCAGCCUCAUCCUGAGUGGCUGUCUGCCUCACCCACUGUGCCCCAGCCACAAUGACCUCCCUCCAUUCCUCAGGGCGCCACCAUCCAGGACACCCCAGGCCAGGAGCUAGUGCAGCCUUCAUCCCUCCAGCUGAGGCAGCACAGCCUCCACCCUCGCAGGCCGCCCGGCUCCAGGCACCAUAGUGAACUCCUACCAGAGGCUGCCUGCUCAGAAACCAUGGGGCAGCCCAAGGAGCAGGCUGUAGUUUGUGCAACCCUUGAGAGACCGAGUUCCAGUCUGACUGCUUCCACCCUGCGCCCAGGACACAGUACAGCUCUGGAGGAGGCAGGUGAACGUGUCUGGAGUGCUUCUUAUGAGCCAGGUGCUCUGCUAGGUACUGGGGACUUGCCAGGGCUAGGGACCCUGGGUCUGAAUCACACACUGGGAGACCCUCAGCCACACAGAAGCAGGGUGGCAUGGGAGACUGACCCCAGACAAGCAGCAGGGCCCUAAGAUCUCGCUGGAGGAGGGAAAAUAGGGCCUUCUUAUGGCUCAAGGUACCCCGUGGCUGAUACUCCAGCUUGGGAGGCAGUGAGAACGGGGACAUAAGGACCUGGGCUAUUUUGAGAAGUCUCAUGUACUGAGGAGGUAGGGUGUGGCUAGGGAGGUGCUGACAAGUGCAGGAUGGGGCCAGGUGGGGUAAGAUUUAUCCAACAAGGCAGGUGGGGCCGAUGGAAGCAUCUCUGGGCUAUAGUUAAACUUGAGCAACAGAAAAGAAAAAGCUGCUAUUUAAACAACCAGCAAAAUUAUUCUAGCUUCUUCUGCCUUCUAAGGGGGUGGUAUAAUUCAUAUCAAAAGGAUGAUGCAUUUUUACAUGCCUGUAGAGGCUGCUAGGGAAAGGAGUUAUGACGGAUAAUUUGGUAGUGUUAAAGGAAAAAGUAAUUUCAAAGCUGGUCCUUAGUGGGUUUCUGAGCAGACAGAGAUGGGCCCAGAUGCAGUCUGGGGUGGGGGAUGGGGGCUGACUACUCCACAGGAGAGAGGAAAAGGAUGUUAUGGGAGUCUGGCUGUGUGUGUGUGAGACAGAGAGAGACAGAGAGAGAGAGAGAGGGAAUGAGUCUGGUGGAGGCUGGGCCUCAAGGAGGCAAAAUGGCUCAUGGGAGCGGGGAGGUGGGUAGAGGACAUGGCCAGAGGAGUAUCAACCUCAAGGUGUUUUCUGUGCUAAAAUGCAAAGUAGCUCUCCCAAUUACACACAGGAAAAACAUGUUUCAUAUGCCUUAUGCUAGAGCUACUUGGAAGAAAUCAAGGAAAAUAAUCUAUGUUUUACAUUUGUCUUGAUACAAGGCAGAAAUGAUAGCAGCUGAGGGAGGGAGGGAGGGAGGAAGGAAUGAAGCA